rnacentral:rRNA from 1 species
AACGAACGCUGGCGGCAGGCUUAACACAUGCAAGUCGAACGCCCCGCAAGGGGAGUGGCAGACGGGUGAGUAACGCGUGGGAAUCUACCGUACCCUACGGAAUAGCUCUGGGAAACUGGAAGUAAUACCGUAUACGCCCUAACGGGGAAAGAUUUAUCGGGGUAUGAUGAGCCCGCGUUGGAUUAGCUAGUUGGUGGGGUAAAGGCCUACCAAGGCGACGAUCCAUAGCUGGUCUGAGAGGAUGAUCAGCUACAUUGGGACUGAGACACGGCCCAAACUCCUACGGGAGGCAGCAGUGGGGAAUAUUGGACAAUGGGGGCAACCCUGAUCCAGCCAUGCCGCGUGAGUGAUGAAGGUCUUAGGAUUGUAAAGCUCUUUCAACGGUGAAGAUAAUGACGGUAACCGUAGAAGAAGCCCCGGCUAACUUCGUGCCAGCCGCCGCCGUAAGAC